GAGACGUUUAUGCUGUUGCAUUGUGCUAUUUGUGCUCCAGACAUAUUUCUGUCAUUGAUCAGCUCCUGCCAGGUAGUUCUAGGCUGAGCCCACACUUUUCUCAUCAUGAUUGAUACCCCACGAGGAGAGAUUUUACAUGGAGCCCCAGUCCAAGGUUUGUGGAGCUCAACAAUUUAUUCUCUGGUGUCUUUCGAAAGCUCUCUGGUCUUGCCCAUGGUAGCAAUUGGAUUAUGACUGGCUGUGGGGUGCUCAGGUGACAAUAAUGAGCUCAAAUGGAUGGUAAGCGAAGUCCAGCAGAAAAAAUCCAGCUAAGGCCAUUCACAGCCAUGUCUUGACACUCAGUGAUACAUGCUACAUGGAGUUUUUGGAUCGAAACAAGAUUGGAUUUUGCUGUUUAAAAAACUUUUUUUUUUUUUUUUUUAAUGCCCUUCAGGUCAAAAUUCUUCUUUCCCUAGAAAAUUGAGAUUUUAAGCUUUCCAAUGAUGUAUCACACAAGCAUAUCGGAUAAUUUGAAAGUUGGCCAAAUUGGGAGUCUCAGAGCGGAACUUGAAGUCAUCUGAGUGUUUCCGCCAUAUAUAUAUUUUUUAGUCCGCAAUGCACUGGGGGCACAAAAGUUGAGCGGCGAAGUAGAGAGGGAUCACUAUAUUGUUGUUUGGUUUGGUAUUGUGUUGUGUUUUUACUAUGUGAUGUCAUGAUUACGCACUGAUGCUCUACACCACCGAAGUUCCUAACAGAAUAAGUAAGUUCUUUGAAAUUGAAGUUCAUUUGAUGAAAUCCAAUCACACUGUAAAAUUAAAAGAUAAAAGGCACUUGAACUCACAAUUUGGCGAGGCAAAUCAUCUUUCCGGGCUAAAUUGUAGAUCCGUAUACA